UCUAUUUAUAUCCUCCCACACUCUGCUUUCCCCUGCAAUUCAUCAAUUAUUUGCGUUUGGCUUCGCCGAUGCUUCGUCUGUGUGCGAGAGCUGCACAUUCCAUUUUAUUGUAUAUAUCAUUUUAAUCGAUAUUCCACAACCGAUUCCCGUAAAUUCGCGCCCAAAUACACACCCUCUUGGUCAUGUGUGUUCGGCAGCUCUACAGUGGAUGUCCUCGGAUUAGGACUCUCUGCAUUGGAAAUUUCCAGCAAUUAAUAUGCGAUUGUGCAGCUGCAAGGGAAAACUAGACGGUAAUUGGAAUUGACCCCGACUGCACAGCACAAGUGCCCCUAAUUAUUUGGCGCCCACUGUGGCGUGUGUGUACACUGCACAUCCAUCGCAUUCGGGGGUUGGGGUGCAAGGAAGCAACAUCGACGCACCCUCGGGUGUGCUGCUGUCACUUGACAGUCACAAAUGCGCAGAUUAAAAGGAGACAGUUCAGAAAAUAUGCUGCCAAAGGAUCCUAAAUGCUGGCAAUAAAAAGUUGAAAUACACCAAUAUAACGGGAAAGCACCUACACAUUCGUUUUUACAAUGCAGGGCGGAAAGUUAGCUACAGCGGAUAGCUAAAGCUAACUUUUUCAAGUAGUCAUUUUAAAUUCAGAAACUAUAGAUAUUUUUAGAUAGCAACUGAUAAAUAUUUUUUUGAAAUACAUCUUUAAAAUAAAAAGGCAUUCAUCCUCUAUAUAAAUACAGCAAAUUAAGCAAUUGCAGCGAUGCAAUAUUAGCAAAUCAGAUUCCAGAGAUAUUCAAUAAAUUUCAAUACCCGUAUUAUAAUCUUGGCAACAUUCCACAGUGCUAGAAAAGCGACCUGCGUUGUCCAUGUCCUUCCCAAUCAGUUCAAAUUACGAAGCUCUGUCCUGAAGGAGGACGCAUAACUUCUAGUUGGGACGGGGGCAGUCGAUUGCCUGCCACUCGUGGCUCCUGCUCCUGCUGCUGGUUCCCUCUGCCACUCCGUGACCCGUCACAUCGCCAGAAGAAGAAAUCCACUUGAGUGGAAUAUAAAGUGAAACUUACGGACGCACAUACAUGAGGAUGUGCAUGUGCAGAGGCGACCAGACCAGGCCAGGCCAGGCCAUGCCAACGACAAAGUUGCAACAAAGCCAGGGAAAAGGAGCUCCGAGACGGAGAGGACACCUCGCUGCGGAACCUGGCCUGUGCGGCAGACAACUGGAGCAGGACGAGCAAAAACCAGGCAUGCCAUGUGCCAUGUGGCGGUGUAUGUGUCAAAGUCUGUCUGUGUGUGUGUGGGAAAGAGCUUUGGAUGCCAUUAAUGAAAGGAUUUUCAACUUGACGUGGUGCGACAAGGCGGACCAAGUCGCAACGCAGCACAGAGCAGCGACCGUCUGACAUGGCAAGUGGAGAGGCGCUUGGCAAGCUCGCACAGACUUACGGUUCGCCCUCGCAAACAGAAAACCCCACAGCGGCGUACACACAAAUGUAGCCGGGCAACAACAUCGCUCCGAAUGCCACAGCCCGGAGUAAAAUGUGGCAAUAAAUCUAAUGGAAACUCACAGCAAUGAGGGAACGAACGAGGGAGCCAACCAAGACAGGGAAGUGCUGGCACCCUAGCUACUUUUGUGGCAAAACUGGCUAGAUACUUUUUUGAAUCUAUAUAACCAAACCCGCUAUCUCCCUUGGCUUAACACAGUUAACAAAAAACUACAAAUUGCAAUUUAAUUGAGUAUAUCCCUUGAGUCCCAACUAUCUAUAACAAAAAACACCCUAUCAUCAUUACACAUUUUCUAUAAGAUUGGUUAAAAGAGAUAGGACAACUUGUUUUGGAACCCAUAAUGUGAAUAGUCAUAAGAAUAUAAGAAUCUUUGAAUGGAUAUAUACGCAUACAUAGAAAAAGACCUACAAAUUUCCAAGAAAAUAUUUUUAUGGUACUAAUCUAUUGUAAAUGCUUAUGAUAGCAAAUAUGAUUAUUUUAGAGACAUUGCUUAUGAGCCCUACUUAAGGCAUUGGCUAUAAUUCCCUCUGCAAGCAAGUAAACACUGCUCUCAACACUGUUGGCCUGGCCAAAGGUAAGCAAUGCUAAGGAAAGGCAAGACAAGGCAACCCAAGACAAGGAAGCCAGCGCUAUAUAGCCAGAAUCAGAAACAGGAACAUAGCCUCUCAGCCAGAGCCAGAGUCAGAACCAAGGGCCAAAGCCAGAUCCCGUCGUUCGGGUAACGAGAACAACAACGGCAACUCCAACAACAAUCGACAACGGCUACGAUGUCGACGAGGAUGGUUGGUCGUUCCUCGUUCGGUUGGGUCGGUCCACUGCAGGGUGACAGGAAACAUGAAUGGAUGGUUUUCGUGCUCCGCUGUGUGCGUGUGUAUCUGUGUGUGCGGAGCGAACGAACGAGGCAACGAGAAAUAAA
rnacentral:sRNA from 1 species